CUGAUUAUUCGCGACAGACAACAUCGCAGAUCCACUGAUUUUAAAUGAAGAUAUGAAGAGGGUGUAGGCGCCAAGAAGCUGUCACAAAGUGCCAAUGGUUUUGAUUAAUUUGGACCCAGCUGCUGUGGGCUGACAGGAAUGACAUGAGAAUCAACAUGCAACAUGAUCACACCGGAAACAACAUGAUCUCAUCUCCGCACCCAUCCUACUCACCAGAUUU